rnacentral:tRNA from 1 species
GAGAGCCUUGUGGGUAUGGCUAUGGAUUGCCAAUCCGAAGACGGGCGGGUUCGAUUCCCGUUC